GACGAACGCUGGCGGCGUGCUUAACACAUGCAAGUCGAACGGUAAGGCUCCAGCUUGCUGGGGUACACGAGUGGCGAACGGGUGAGUAACACGUGGGUGACCUGCCCUGCACUUCGGGAUAAGCCUGGGAAACUGGGUCUAAUACCGGAUAGGACCAUGGUGUGGAUACUGUGGUGGAAAGUUUUUUCGGUGUGGGAUGGGCCCGCGGCCUAUCAGCUUGUUGGUGGGGUAAUGGCCUACCAAGGCGGCGACGGGUAGCCGGCCUGAGAGGGUGGACGGCCACAUUGGGACUGAGACACGGCCCAGACUCCUACGGGAGGCAGCGGUGGGGAAUAUUGCACAAUGGGCGGAAGCCUGAUGCAGCGACGCCGCGUGGGGGAUGACGGCCUUCGGGUUGUAAACUCCUUUCACCAUCGACGAAGGGUUUCUGACGGUAGAUGGAGAAGAAGCACCGGCUAACUACGUG
rnacentral:rRNA from 1 species